rnacentral:rRNA from 1 species
GACGAACGCUGGCGGCGUGCUUAACACAUGCAAGUCGAACGAUGAAGCUGGAGCUUGCUCUGGUGGAUUAGUGGCGAACGGGUGAGUAACACGUGAGUAACCUGCCCUGGACUCUGGGAUAACCCCGAGAAAUCGGAGCUAAUACCGGAUAGGACCUCGGAUCGCAUGAUCUGGGGUGGAAAGUUUUUCGGUCUGGGAUGGACUCGCGGCCUAUCAGCUUGUUGGUGAGGUAAUGGCUCACCAAGGCGUCGACGGGUAGCCGGCCUGAGAGGGUGACCGGCCACACUGGGACUGAGACACGGCCCAGACUCCUACGGGAGGCAGCAGUGGGGAAUAUUGCACAAUGGGCGCAAGCCUGAUGCAGCAACGCCGCGUGCGGGAUGACGGCCUUCGGGUUGUAAACCGCUUUUAGUGAGGAAGAAGCCGCAAGGUGACGGUACUUGCAGAAAAAGGACCGGCUAACUACGUGCCAGCCGCCGCCGUAAUAC